UGAGCCAUGAAUCAAGAAAAGCCGCUAUUGUUUUUAAGAUACCCGUACCGUAAACCGACACAGGUGGAUGAGGAGAGAAUCCUAAGGCCGGCGGAAGAAGCAUUGUUAAGGAACUCGGCAAAAUGACCCCGUAACUUCGGAGAAGGGGUGCCAACGAGAGUUGGCCGCAGAGAAUAGGCUCAAGCAACUGUUUAGCAAAAACACAGGUCUAUGCAAAACCGUAAGGUGAGGUAUAUGGGCUGACGCCUGCCCGGUGCUGGAAGGUUAAGAGGAAAGGUUAGCGCAAGCGAAGCUUUGAAUUUAAGCCCCAGUAAACGGCGGCCGUAACAAUAACGGUCCUAAGGUAGCGAAAUUCCUUGUCGGGUAAGUUCCGACCCGCACGAAAGGCGUAAUGAUUUGAGCGCUGUCUCGACAAUGCAUCCGGUGAAAUUGAAGUACCAGUGAAGAUGCUGGUUACCCGCGCCAGGACGGAAAGACCCCAUGGAGCUUUACUCCAGUUUGGUACUGGGGUCCGGCAGUGCAUGUACAGGAUAGGUGGGAGGCUGAGAACCUGGAACGCCAGUUUCAGGGGAGCCAUUGUUGGGAUACCACCCUUGUGCUGCUGGGCUUCUAACCAGCGGCCUUUAUCAGGCCGGGGGACAAUGCCAGACGGGGAGUUUGACUGGGGCGGUCGCCUCCGAAAGGGUAUCGGAGGCGCUCAAAGGUUCCCUCAGAAUGGUCGGAAACCAUUCGAAGAGUGCAAAGGCAGAAGGGAGCUUGACUGCGACACCGACGGGUGGAGCAGGUACGAAAGUAGGACUUAGUGAUCCGGUGGUAUUAAGUGGGAAUGCCAUCGCUCAACGGAUAAAAGCUACCCUGGGAUAACAGGCUUAUCACUCCCAAGAGUUCACAUCGACGGGGUGGUUUGGCACCUCGAUGUCGGCUCAUCGCAUCCUGGGGCUGUAGUAGGUCCCAAGGGUUGGGCUGUUCGCCCAUUAAAGCGGUACGCGAGCUGGGUUCAGAACGUCGUGAGACAGUUCGGUCCCUAUCCGGCGUGGGCGUAGGAUAUUUGAGAGGAGCUGUCCUUAGUACGAGAGGACCGGGAUGGACUGACCUCUGGUGUACCGGUUGAACCGCCAGGUUCACGGCCGGGUAGCCAAGUCGGGAAGGGAUAAACGCUGAAGGCAUCUAAGCGUGAAGCCCCCCUCAAGAUGAGAUAUCCCAUUCUUAAAGAAGUAAGACCCCUUGAAGACGACGAGGUAGAUAGGGCAGAGGUGGAAGUGCCGUAAGGCAUGGAGCUGACUGUUACUAAUCGG
rnacentral:rRNA from 1 species